rnacentral:snRNA from 1 species
CGUCGCUGCCGUGAUCGU